UGAUAAUGACAGUACCUGGUAAAGAAACCCCGGCUAACUCCGUGCCAGCAGCCGCGGUAAUACGGAGGGGGUUAGCGUUGUUCGGAAUUACUGGGCGUAAAGCGCACGUAGGCGGAUUAGUCAGUCAGAGGUGAAAUCCCAGGGCUCAACCCUGGAACUGCCUUUGAUACUGCUAGUCUUGAGUUCGAGAGAGGUGAGUGGAAUUCCGAGUGUAGAGGUGAAAUUCGUAGAUAUUCGGAGGAACACCAGUGGCGAAGGCGGCUCACUGGCUCGAUACUGACGCUGAGGUGCGAAAGUGUGGGGAGCAAACAGGAUUAGAUACCCUGGUAGUCCACACCGUAAACGAUGAAUGCCAGUCGUCGGGCAGUAUACUGUUCGGUGACACACCUAACGGAUUAAGCAUUCCGCCUGGGGAGUACGGUCGCAAGAUUAAA
rnacentral:rRNA from 1 species